GUUGUUGCUGGUCCUCAGAUGGGGGCAUGUGCACGCUCUGUUUACACAUCCACUCACACCUGUGCACCCUCUGUAGUUCUAUGGUCUGAGAGGGGCUCCGCCCUCUCGCCACGGUUCUAUGUCUUUACACACGCACUGUAAUAAAGUUUAUGGAAUGCAUGACGCGUUUAACGCAAUACAAUACAACUUUCAGCAACGGAUCUCUUGGCUCUCGCAUCGAUGAAGAACGCAGCGAAAUGCGAUAAGUAAUGUGAAUUGCAGAAUUCAGUGAAUCAUCGAAUCUUUGAACGCACCUUGCGCCCUUUGGCUAUUCCAGAGGGCAUGCCUGUUUGAGUAUCAUGAACACCUCAACUCUCACGGUUCGCCGUGAUGAGCUUGGACUUUGGAGGUCUUGCUGGCCUGUGGUCGGCUCCUCUCAAAUGAAUCAGCUUGCCAGUGUUUGGUGGCAUCCCAGGUGUGAUAACUAUCUACGCUUGUGGUUUUCCACCAGGUAACCUUCAGCGAUGGAGGUUCGCUGGGGCUCACAAAUGUCUCUCCUCAGUGAGGACGGCUUCUUGAAUGUUUGAUCUCAAAUCAGGUAGGGCUACCCGCUGAACUUAAGCAUAUC
rnacentral:rRNA from 1 species